rnacentral:rRNA from 1 species
AGACCCGAAACCCGGUGAUCUAGCCAUGGGCAGGUUGAAGGUUGGGUAACACUAACUGGAGGACCGAACCGACUAAUGUUGAAAAAUUAGCGGAUGACCUGUGGCUGGGGGUGAAAGGCCAAUCAAACCGGGAGAUAGCUGGUUCUCCCCGAAAGCUAUUUAGGUAGCGCCUCGUGAAUUCAUCUCCGGGGGUAGAGCACUGUUUCGGCUAGGGGGCCAUCCCGGCUUACCAACCCGAUGCAAACUGCGAAUACCGGAGAAUGUUAUCACGGGAGACACACGGCGGGUGCUAACGUCCGUCGUGAAGAGGGAAACAACCCAGACCGCCAGCUAAGGUCCCAAAGUCAUGGUUAAGUGGGAAACGAUGUGGGAAGGCCCAGACAGCCAGGAUGUUGGCUUAGAAGCAGCCAUCAUUUAAAGAAAGCGUAAUAGCUCACUGGUCGAGUCGGCCUGCGCGGAAGAUGUAACGGGGCUAAACCAUGCACCGAAGCUGCGGCAGCGACACGUAAGUGUUGUUGGGUAGGGGAGCGUUCUGUAAGCCGUAGAAGGUGUGUCGUGAGGC